AGCGCCCAGUGUCCAAACUCCAGCGGGCAGGAGCUGCCGGCCCGGCGCAGCUGGGGUGCCCGGCUCCGCGCUUCGGCCGGCAGGGUGAGUCUGCCGAGUUCCGCGGACAAAACCGGGAGGAUGUGAGACCUGCCCUUGAAGCCCGUUCGCGCUUCCCUAAUGAAUAGAGUGCAAAACAGCUGAAGAAGCAGCCUUAUUGCUCAAAAGCAAAUGUUGAUACAUCUCAGGGCUUUGAGCGUGGGAGAUGAAGGGCCCAGCUUUAUGCCACUUAAGGUAGUAACGUGGUUGAUGUUCCUUUGCUCUGGACAGCUUUGCUGUGGGCUUCAAAGUUCUCUCUCUGACCAAACUCAGUGAAGUUGCUUCCUCCUCUUCUCUUUGAACCCGGAGCUUUGGGAAGGGCAGCAAAGCAAGCCGAAAUGAAAUUGCCAAACUUAUGGUUCUCCGGGUAGACCCUGUACGGCAAGAUGGUAUUGUUACUGAAACGGCCAUGGGCUGGAUAUGUGUG